AGGCUUAUCAUCGUCCUCAAACAAGAUAUCAAAAGCGGCGGACCAACAGAAACAACACUCUUUUACAGUGUCUUACCUUGUAAAUAGAUGUGGGUUGCCUCUCAAAACUGCUACCUCUGCAUCUCAAAUGGUACAUUUUGAAUCCUCAGAAGGGCCGACUCGGUCCUGGCCUUUCUGAAAAACCAUGGAUUCUCAGAUAUCCAGAUCGCCAAACUCAUCACGAGGCUCCCCAGGUUGGUUUGUUCUGACCCUGAGGAAACCCUUCUCCCCAAAAUUGAGUUUUUCAGUUCUAUAGGCAUUUCAGGCCAUGAUUUCACUAGGAUUGUCACUCAGAAUCCAAAUAUCUGGUUCCGGAGUGUAGAGAAACGAUUCGUUCCUUGUUAUGAUUUUAUCAAGAGUAUGGUUCUCUCGGAGGAUAAAGUGGUUACAACUUUGAAGAGAGCACCUAGGAUGCUCAUGUGUGAUAUGCAGACAAGUAUUGCUCCCAAUAUUGCAUCGUUGAGGAAGUUUGGAGUGACUCAAUCGACUGUGUUGUUUUUGGUGACUGAUUAUCCCAAUAUACUGCUGCGGACAAGCGCCAAGUUUGAACAACAUGUCAGGGAAGUUGUUGACAUGGGAUUCGACCCGAAGAAAUCAGAAUUUGUCCAUGCACUGAGAGUGUUUGCUGGGAUGAGUGAGUUGAGUCGAGAACGUAAAAUGGCGAUUUUAGGUGGUUUGGUUGGUCGGAAGAGGAGAUUCUGUCGGUCUUAAAAACGCAUCCCAUGUGUGAUAUUAUCGGAAAAGAAAAUAAUGGAUGGGUUGGAUUUCCUGAUGAAUAAAAUGGGUUGGCAGCGGGAGGCUGUUGCAAGAGUUCCUUUGGUUCUUUGUUAUAGUUUGAAUAAGAGGGUAAUUCCGAGGUGUUCAAUUGUGCAAGUUCUGCAGUCCAAGGGUUUGUUAAAGGAGGCAGAUUUUUAUUUAUCUAGUGUGUUGAUACCUCCUGAGAAGGUCAUCUUGGCCAGGUUUGUCAUCAAAUAUGAAGAACAAGUUCCUCAGCUGUUGAGUGUCUAUAAAGGGAAAUUGGGUCUUCCGGAGCUAGGCUUUGGGUCUGAGGGAAUGAAACAGUUGUAGUGUAUUUUUGACUGCUACAAUACAAUGACUUCAACCUGGCUCUUUUGUAAGUAAUCGUGAUUAUUUAAUGAAGGGGUGUGUGGAUCAGUAGCAAUACUCUUUCAGAGUUUCUUACUCUAUCGACCCAUGAGGCUUGUCCCAGAAAAUGCUAAAUUAUGCAUGUGAAAUUAAGUUCAUUAUUCAAACCAAUCUAAACUUAUCAGGUAUUCACAUAACUCCUUUUGGCUAAACUUGAAUUUUGUUUUUUCUUCUGACUUUUGUUCUAUAGGGUUCCCUAGGGCUGACCUCUGUUUGCCUCCUGUAUACACUCUCCAUGCCUCAGAUCCAUCACAGUAAUAGAGGAAUCCAAACCACUUGCAACUCCUCUUUGGUUCUUCAUCUCAACUCUGCAACUUUCAAUUUUGGAGUGUGUCAAGAGAGUUUGAUUAUGCAAUCAAUUCUGAAACUCUUGAAAAUCUUCCUGGAAAUUAGUUUCUUUUCCUAUCCUGUCCUUUUUCUAGACAUUCAGACAUUCCAUAUUCUCUUCUCCCCACUUUUUGUGCUUCUCCUCUCCUUCCAUCCCUAAAUCUACCUAGCUUUGUAACCGAUAAACCCUAAGAAUGUGGUGCAUUCCAUUCAGUUUCCAAACCCAUCUAUGUAAUCCCCCCAAAAUCCAUACUCAUUGAUGCUCAUCUCAUAAUUUCAUCUUAUUCAAAGAAGUUGGCACUCUUUAGGGAUAUUGGGUGUUAGUUCUUUACCCCAAGGCUAUGAUGCAAUAUAUACUAAGAUUGUUGAUGAAGUUAAUGAAUGGAAUUAGACCUCAUGAAGUAUAUUGGCAAUACAUGCCAUUGUAGGUAAGAGUCAUAAGUUGAUUGUAUUGGAGGUGGGGUUGGUUCAAGGAGAACAGCAAGCACAUUGUAUUGACUAUCAGAGAAGAAGAUGAUACAAGAUCCCAUGACCCAAAAAAUGAGUGCUAUUCCAGUGUAAUUGCUCAGGGGCAAAGGAAAGAGUGUUUGUUUGGAUAUUACUAUUUUAUAUUUUAAAAAUAAAAAUAAUAAUAAUUUCUAUAUUUAUAGUUAUUCUUAUAUAAAUAGUAUGAAUUUAUUUUGUAUUUUAAAAAUUAUUUUUAAUAUUUUUAUACUUUCACCAAAUACUCUAUAUCAUGAUCAUUUCAAAUAAGUGAAUUGUGUUUUAGUUUUACAUUCUAUUAGAUAAUUUUUUUUUAUAAAAAAAAACAAAUACAAAUGUACCAUUAUUUUUCUAUUUUUAGGUAAUUUUUCUAAAUUAAUCUAAAAUAUAAUUGGGAAAAAUAUGCUACUCCCUUUCAAUAGCAGUUCCAUUCCACCCACCUCUUCAUAUUUCCAUUUUCUCCUGUCAAUGAAUAGGGUGAGGAUGUGGCAUCCAGCUUGAAUGGGGGUAUUUUUCAGAAAGGGUUGAAGUGUUUUAGAUUCAAACGACGCCGUUUAGUUGUCUCUGUGCACUACAAUCUGUCAACCGUUGAACCCUCCGAAACUAUAUGGAUUGCGGCGUUCUGGCAAGGAAAUAGGGUUCUAAGACUUAAAAAGUGGCUUCCGGUUCUGCAAAUCUUCAGGGCCAUUUGAAGUUUGUCGGUAAAGUCCUGUGAUUUAGUUCCAAAAAUUCUCCCAAAAUGUUUAGUUUCCUCUGCCGAACACUUCGUUUUUCGGCUCCCAAUAUUCAGAAUUCAUCCUGUUUUCUUGAAAAUGUGUCACUGGUUCUCAUCAGAGGCUUAUCAUCGUCCUCAAACAAGAUAUCAAACGCGGCGGACCAACAGCAACAACACUCUUUUACAGUGUCUUACCUUGUAAAUAAAUGUGGGUUGCCUCUCAAAACUGCUACCUCUGCAUCGCAAAUGGUACAUUUUGAAUCCUCAGAAGGGCCUGACUCGGUCCUGGCCUUUCUGAAAAACCAUGGAUUCUCUGAUACCCAGAUCGCCAAACUCAUCACGAGGCGGCCCAGGUUGGUUUGUUCUGAC
rnacentral:lncRNA from 1 species